rnacentral:lncRNA from 10 species
AAAAUUAUUAAAUUGAGGGAAUUAGUUUCUUUAGAGUCAUUUCUUCUUAGAAGUAAGUUGUUUUAUCAUUUAAUUUCGUCUUGCUUGAUGAAAAUGCUAUAAAGCAUGGCAUUGGCUGAAAUUAAAACAAUGCAGAAAAGUAAAAAGAAGAAACUUUUAAAAUCAGCCUGAUUCCCAUAUCUUAGGUCUGACCAUUGUUUAGGUGACAUAUAUUCUUCAGGAGAAAUGCAUUUUUCUAAGCAUGGAUACAUAUGUAUGCAUAUGGGGGUAUAGCUAUAUGAUAUAUUUAACUGUGAUAAGAAUCAUUUAUAUAUUCAGAACUACAUAUUCCAUCUUUUUUUUUUCUUUUUUCUUUUUCUUUUUUGAGGUGGAGUUUCACUCUUGUUGCCCAGGUUGGUGUGCAAUGGAGUGAUCUCGGCUCACUGCAACCUCUGCCUCCUGGGUUCAAGUGAUUCUCCUGCCUCAGCCUCCCAAGUAGCUGGGAUUACAGGCAUGUGCCACCACGCCUGGCUAAUUUUGUAUUUUUGGUAGAGAUGGGGGUUUCUUCAUGUUGCUCAGGCUGGUCUUGAACUCCCGACCUCAGGUGAUUCACCCACCUCGGCCUCCGAAAGUGCUGGGGUGUAUUACAGGCGUGAGCCACCACACCCGGCCCACAUUCCAUCUUUUAGCCUCACAUUAUAAUAUGCUCCUUUAAGUCAAUAAAAUUUUCAAAAAUGUAAUUUAAUGCCUCUGUAGUACCUAAUUCUGUUUAAUGCAUUUUAAUUCAUUUACCCAUUCUCCUGCUACUGAUUGCUUCUAAUUUUAUAAAUAAUGGAGAUACUUGCAUCUUGAAUAUUAUUAUCACAAUGAUUUAAUACACAGAUUUCCAUUUCCUUUUGUGUUAUUCCCCCAUUGCCUAGAAUGACUAUGCUUGCUUGCCUGUCAGUUUCAGGAUCACAAAUAUAAACAUAAGUCCCAAAGGCAUUUCCCAGCUCAUAGCUAAAUGACAAGCCUGCUUACUCCAAGGAAAUAUUUUAAUCUGAGUCUUUCCAAUCUAAGGAAAAGAGCUUAUAGAAAUUAAUUUUGAUAAAGCAUAUUUAAUCUUUUGCCUUACUGGCUGUUGCUUACCUUAUAAAUGCAAUGCACUGCAUAGGCCAAGCAAAAGUACAAAAGUAUCAAAAGCGAAAAGUUACUGUUUCUCUUCAAUUCUUCACCAUGCCUCAAUCUUUCCCAUCCCUGCUGUCCUGUGGUACUUUUAUGUUAAUGUUUGAUGUAAAUCAUUCCACACUUUAUUGUAGGCUUGAACACAUAAAUAAUUAAAUAAAGCUUCUCCCCUAGCCUCCCACAAAAAUUGAGUCUUGGCAUUCAUAUUGUUGUCUAACAGGCCCCCCACUACCACCUCCACUUGUAUAUAGUGCUCAACCCUAUAGCUAAAUGUAUGUAUCGAAUCCAUUAUUUUAAAUAGUGCAUAAUAAGCCACUGUGCCACAGGUGAGGUGGCAUGUUUCCACCACUUUUGUGCCCAUGAUUUUUGAUGUCCUCACUCCCACGAGCCAGCCUGGGCCAGAACUUGCUUUACAUUUGCUUGGGGGCAGCCUGGAACAAA